CUCACCCUUUCCACCAGCGCCUCCUCCAUCUGUGCUUCCGCCCACCCCGCAGAGUGCAGUGAGCCAGGACCCUGACUUGGGCCAGCUGGCCACAUCUUCACCUGAUUGUCCCCUGACUGUACACCAGGGCUCUCUGACCAGCCCUGGGGACCUCAGCCUCUGGCAAAGUGUUACAGAAACCUCUGCAAUGGAAAACAAAUGUAAGAAGAGGACAAUAUCUGGGUUUUGUGAGGGACUGAAACCAAGAACUAGAACCGAAAACCAAGGCUUCAAGAUUCCCAAAUAGCUGCAUCGAAAGAUUCAUUGUAAAAGGCUGAACGGGACUUCCCUGGUGGCUGAGGGAUAAAGAAUCUGCCUGCCAAUGCAGGAGACAUGAGUUUGAUCCCUGGUCUCCGAAGAUCCCACAUGCUACAGAGAGCUCACCCCUUGCAUCACAACUACUGAGUCUGUGCUCUAGAGCCCAGGAGCUGCAACUACUGAGCUCAUGUACUGCAACUACUGAGCCUGUGCGCCUAGAGCCCUCGCUCCACAACAAGAGAAGCCACUGCAAUGAGAAGCCUGCGCAUCACAGCUAGAGAGUAGACCCUGCUCUCCACAGCUGGAGCAAGCCUGUGUGCAGCAAUGAAGACCCCGCACAGCCCCAAAUAAUAGUCAUGUACGGAUGUGAGAUGCAGACCAUAAAGAAAGCUGAGCACCAAAGAACUGAUUCUUUCAAACUGUGGUGCUGGAGAAGACUCUUGAGAGUCCCUUCGACUACAUGGAGAUCAAACCAGUCAAUUCUAAAGGCCAUCAACCCUGACUAUUUAUUGGAAGGGCUAAUGCUGAAACUCCAAUACUCUGACCACCUGAUGUAAAAGAGGGGACUCAUUGGAAAAGACCCUGAUGCUGGGAAAGAUUGAAGGCAAAAGGAGAAGGGGGAAGCAGCGGAUGAGAUGGUUAAAUAGUAUCACAGACUCAGUGGACAUGAAUCUGAGCAAACUCUGGGAGAGUGAAGGACAGGGCACCCUUGGCGUGCAGCCGUCCAUAGGGUUGCAAAGAGCUGGCCACAACUUAGCGACUGAGUAAUAACAAAUGUUUUCAAUACGGUAUUUUUCUACUUCUGAAUGGUUACUACAAUUAAUUUGUAAAAGAGCUCUAUUUAAUUGGCUUAAACAAGCAAGCACCUAUAUAAAUUUACUAGUCAUAAAAACUUUCAAAAAUAUAAUAGAAACGAAUCCAAAUAUUUUUCAAGUUCACAUGAUCCAAGAUGAUUUUCAAUACAUAAAAGCAAGUUUCUAUUUGUUGGUUUGAUUAAUACAGACAUGUCUUUGGAGUUAUCAGCAUUAAGUAUAAUGAUUUUAUUCUACCUACGUUUACUAAAAGUCAAAUAAGCCCAUGUUAUCUCUGCUAUAGGGACUUCCCUGCUGGCUCAGUGGUAAAGAAUCUGCCUGCGAUGCAGGUGACCUGGGUUCAAUCCCUGGGUUGGGAAGGUUCCCCUGGAGAAGGAAAUGGCAACCCACUCUAAUAUUCUUGCCUGGAGAAUAUAAAAUUUUUCAGAAAAAAAUACAUAUAACUUGAAAUGAUGGCUAACUGCUUUAAUGUCUCAUGAAAUUUUCAUGAGUAAUCUAAGUAUGUUCAUUAAGAACAAUAGAUAUAGAUGAGAUAAAAGGUUUUAGAUGAACUCUUUAGUGAUAACUGUUUCAUAUGUCUAUUUACAUAAUUUCCCAAAUCUCUUUGGUAACUUACACCAUUAGUGUUUUCAGAGUUAAAUUAAAUGAUGGAAAUUCACUGAAUACUUGGAUUAUUUCCAAGUAAGAUAAAAUAAUGAAAUAUUAAUUACUGAACCCAGGUUUAUUCAUUUUUGGCUUCCUUUUAUAGAAAAAGUAAAGACAUUUGGGAUUAUUAGUAAGCAUGUUCUAUAAAAAUUGUACUAUGAAGAGAUGUAUUUGUAGAAAUUAUUAAAAUUAUUUCUGAAUUUGCCAAGUCACAGAAUGCUACAGGUAAGAAACAGUUCAAAAUUGUUUACUAUUUUUUUUUUUGUUUACUAUUUUAUUUUCACUAGAAAUUAAGGUUUAUGAGGGUUAAAAAAUCUUGAAAAAAUUUAAUUAUUUCUAGUUAUUAGAAAUAAUAAGGGCAAUAGCUCUGUAUGCAAAGAAAGUAGAAUAUGUGUUUGGCCAAAAGAAGAUAUAAAAUAUGGAGGUGUGUCUUGUUAAGGAAAAUGAAAAUAAUUUUGUCCUACAACAAAGUUGGUUAUUUCAGAAUGUGAAGGAAAAAAAUGAAGGAAAAACUAUAAACAGAAAGUUGAGAGGAAAGAGAAAAAGAAAAAAAGAGAGGGGGGAGAAAAGAGGAAAUCUCAUGUGGUCAAGUUGGCUAAAAACUGAAUUGUUAUGACAAGAGUUUAAAAAUUAAACCUUAAUAUCAGUAGUGUACUUAUAGAAAGCUAAAGCUUAAGUUUCCCUUGUUUGCUAAAAGGACAAAUGCUUCUUGGACUAAUGAUCAGCUCUUGAUAAGAGAUCAUGAAAGGUUUUCCUUCACCUUCUGGAUAGCUUACUUAGAAAACAAAGAUUUUGUGUUUUACCAAGUGUCUUCACCAGGUCUUUGAUUAAUUUAAAAAAUUGAGUCUUCUUGAUAUUAAAAGAGCUAAGUUUUACUCACAACUAUGUACUCUCCCACAUAUAUCUUUGAAAUCUUUUGUUGCUAUUUUAGUUAAGUAGCUAAUUAAGUAUAUUUCAUAAUGAUCUGUGAUCCUAUUUAGUCAAAUGUCCAAAUCUUUUUUUAUAAUUUUGAGAAAAUUGCCCAAAUUCAAAUUCUAAAUGAAAUCUUUUUUGACCUAGAAGUAACCUUUUGAUUUUCCAGAAGGACCCCGGAACAUCUCAGAAGAUUUGUUCUCUCUCUUUUAUAAAAAGAAGGAUACUAAAACAAUUAGGCUUAUUUGAUUUGUUAAAUUAUGUGAAAGCUUUAUUAGACAAGUAAUGCUAAAUCUUCUUAGAUUAUAUUUGUGGGGAUAUACGUUAUUAUUAUAAAUGUUUCAGAAAUUAUAUGAAAUUUCUAAAAUUCUGGUAUGUCCUGGUAUAAUGCUAUUGUCAUAAUUCUAGUUAUUAUCUUAAAAUGCUGGGCUAUAGGAAUAACCAAAUUUUUUCUGUCAAUUCCACUACAAUGAACUUUCAUCAAAUCUUUAACAAUGGCCAUUUUUAAGAAGUCUUUUGUCAUUUAUAAAGAGUUAUUGCUUUACUCUGAUGUUUUUGCAAAAGUGCUUCAUCUUCAUGAGGAUUCAUGGUAAGAAUUUUUGACAACUACAGGUUUAUCAUAAAUGGAAGAUCAAAAAACUGACCUGGGUAAGAAUUUCCAGAACUAAUAGACAAACUGGAUUCAAGCAGAACAAAAACUGGUAACACGGAACUGAACAAACUGAGGAAUAUGACUAUAACUUUUAUGACUUUUUGUUUUAAUAUAUUGCUGGUUCCUUAAUGUUUUGCUUUUCUGGAUUUAAGGAAAGUUCUUCUCUCAUGCUAUGUAUGAUUUACAACAAUUUGAUAAAAUAUAUCUUUGUAGAGUGAAAAUCACUCAGUCAUGUUCAACUUUUUGUGAUCCCAUGGACUGUAGCCCGCCAGGCUCCUCUGUCCAUGGAAUUCUCCAGGCAAGAAUACUGGAGUGGAUUGCCAUUCCCUUCUCCAGGGGAUCUUUCCAGCCCAGGGAUCAAAAAGGGGUCUGCUGCAUUGCAGGCAGAUUCUUUACCAUCUCAGCCACCAGGGAAGCCCAUACCUUUGUAAGCAAAGCUGAAACAGUCACCUUUGUCCCUCCCUGACACCUUCAGAAUUUGGAAGCUCUUAAAUAUCCUUUUCAUGGCAACAUAGUUAUUUGUAUAAAUUCAGUUUAAAAAUCUGUUCUCCUUGUAACAGGACACAAUUGGAAAAACUGGUUAUAUUACCAAGGCUUUCACAGAAUUGUCAUAUUUGAGAAAGAUACACAGAGACUCAGUUAUGACCUUUAAGAAACUAAGAUUGACUUUUUGGAGCUAAUAAGAACCCUUGGAAAAAUUGACCUGAUAUCUUGCGUACAAGGUUCUGGCAAAAUAAUCAUAAAGAGAAUCUAUAUGGCCAGUCGCUUUUCUUGCCACACUUAUGUAAUCAGACCAAGUUUAACGCAAACAAAUUAGUUUUAUGGUGAUUAUCUUUGAUAAAGAAAUGGGGGUAAUCGUAAACAGAAAAAUUAUAUUCGUACCUUUGUCUACAUUAGAUUCUAGGCCUGAUAACUUUCUUUGAGGUUAUGAUAUAUACCUGUAAAUUGGAAUGGAUCCUAAAUUCUAGUUUCUUCAAAUAUCUAGCCAGGACUCUCCAAACUAACUUUUUCAGUCUUCUCCCACUCUUGAUUUGGAAUCAGUAAGAACAAAGAUGGGCUUCCCAGGUGGCACGAGCGGUAAAGAACCCGCCCGUGCAGGAGAUAUGAGACACGGGCUCGAUCCCUGAGUUGGGAAGUUCCCCUAGAGGAGGGCAUAGCAACCCACCCCUGGAAAAUUCCAUGGACAGAGGAGCCUGCCAUGUUGCAGUCCAUGGGGUCACAGAGAGUCAAACACAAAUGAAGCGAAUUAGCACGCACACACACGAACAAAGACGGCCCUUGACUUUCCUCGGAAGAGGCUAGACCAGGUCCUCCUCAUCCCCAGAUGGCAGCCAAACUUCAGGGAUUUGAACUUCGGAUACACACUUUAACUUCUGUCCUGUGCAGACCCUAGAGACCUCUGAAUCAAAUGGAUGGGGGAGAGAAAUAACUGGCAUCGAUGUAGACUGCUUCGUCCCAAGAUGCUGAAUCAAGACUUCAUUCUUUAACUAAACAUGAAACACUUUAUUCUUCUCUUUUUUCCCUUUACACUGGCAUGGGCUUAGAAAGAUAACACUACUUGUAUCUCCCAGACCACUGCCAGUGAGGCAGGGGUGGAACCUCCAGAAUUUAGAACUUUUGAUUUCAGGCCAGAAGAAAACCUAACUGAACUGUGGCUUGAAAGGGAAAAUGCAAUAAUCCCUGGGUGAAUCCAUUUACAGUGUCACCUGAGCGGAAGUGGUUUGUGCCCUGACAGGAUUUAUCUUUGUCUGUGGUGCUUAUCACUCUCCUUGAACCUAUGAACGUCCAGACGCUGUGCACGGUCAGGCAAUGACCUUGAGGUUCUCUAACUGUGCCCCCAUGUGUGGUGCUAAGUUGCUUCAGUAGUGUCUGACUCUCUGUGAUCCUGUGGACAAUAGUCGGCCAGGCUCCUCUGUCCAUGUCUGGCUCCUCCUGGCAUGACCAACACCACUUUCUCCACCUGGAUUAACAUUUCUGGGAGCUGGAAACUCAAGUUUCAUAAGAUCACCAAGCAAGCCCCUUGGCUUUAAAGGUCACUUUCAUUGGAGCCUUUCUUUGACUUAUGUGACUUUGGUCAGUUUGGGUCUUAAGGACCAUGGCUCUGAAGUGCACUCCAGACCUUGGAAAUUCUUCUGCUUAUAAUAACUAUAGCAAUCCUUGGUGCACCAUAGUCUCUCAAAAUCUUUAAAUGCACGUUUGCAGCUGCCAAGCACCAAGCAAUGACCUCCCUAAGAAUGGAACAUCAAUAAAUGAAUGAAGACAAUGACCAACUUAAACACAGUAAACCUGAAGUCAUGGCUUGUAAAUAUCACAGAGACUCAGAAGAAAAAGGACCGGAUCUACGAAUACACACAGAGGAUCAACAAAACCUGUGAGAACUACAAAGCAGCAGAUAAGAAUGCUGCUGAAGCUUUAAAUUUUGAUUCCAUCUCUCAGCUAAGCUGAGUGUCUGAAAGAAAGAGAAGAUAGUCAUUGUUUAGUCACUAAGUCAGGUCCUACUCUUUUUGCGACCCCAUGGACUGUAGCCCACCAGCUUCCUCUGUCCAUGGAAUUCUCCAGGCAAGAAUACUGGAGUGGGUUGCCAUUUCCUACUCCAGGGCAUCUUCCCAACCCAGGGACCAAACUAGUGUCUUCUGCAUUGGCAGGCGCUGUCUUUACCGCUGAGCCACCUGGGAAACCAAAGAGGGGAAUUGUUAAAAGGAAACAGCAGGCCUGAAAUGGAGUCACUGUGCUAAACUCCAAGUCAACAAUAUAAGACUUGACACCUAAGCUAACUGCAGUGUCAACCACUCAGGAAUAUAAACUUUAACCAAUCCAUUCGGAGUUAACUGGUCAGCACCGGUGAGGCAAUCCACCUGACGGGCCCUUCCAUCUUCCUUAGGAAACCUUGCCUGAAACAAUGCAUUCUUUGCUAAUAAUUUGCUUUUUCUGCCCCAUUUAUGCCUUUAAAAACUUCCCGUUUCUACAGCUCACCUGAACGCCUUCCUAUAUUGCCAGGUGGGAUGUUGUCCAAUUCAUGAAUUAUUUA